UAUAGCUUGAAGCUAAAUUGAAGCAUUAUUGAAGCUAAAUUGUUAUGUUCCACGAGCUUGAAGAUUAAUUAGGUUCAAUUUAGUACCAAAAUUAGCAUAAAAGUAUGCGUUUUGCAACUUCACAAAUACACGCUACUCUUGAGGAGGAAGAGGUUGAAUCUAUUGAUGUGUGAUAUAAUAUUUUACUACUUUAGGUUAAUCCAUAAAUGUAGUAGUAGUAAUUGUUGAUUGAUGUUGAUAUAUAGUAUAUAGUGUUAAGGCAAAGAGCUCUUGAAAAAUUUCUUAGCUAUGCACAGAUCAGUAGCAGUAACAACUCAUGUGAUUGCAAAUGUUCUAGUUUCUUUAUUUUCAAAAGGUUUUGGAACAUCAGCAGAAAACAAUGAGGAAGAUGGAACCGUCAAUGCAUCUGAAGAUGCAACUGGGACUGACAUGGGGGAAAGUGUUGGAUUAAAUGAUGUCAGUGAUCAGAUCACUGAUGAAGAUCAGCUGCUGGGAACACGUGAACAGCAAAAGGAAAAGCAAGAGGACUCCAACGAAGUGCCAAGUAGCAAUAAAGAAGGCAUUGAGAUGGAUCAGGAUUUUCAGGCUGAUGCAGUAAGCCUCAGUGAGGAGUCUAGUGAAAAUAAAGACUGUGAUGGUGAGAAUGAGGAGCUUGAGUCUGAAAUGGGUCUGACGGGACCAGAUAGUGAAGCAGUUGGAGAGAAAAUUUGGGAUCAGAAUGAAGACGAGACUCCUAAAGAUACAAAAGAAAAGUUUGAAUCAGGACCUUCAGUUAAGGAUAAAGACGGAAGCAACAAGGAGUUAAGAGCCAAGGAUGAGUCUACCAUCAAUGAAGCUGGGGACGAUAGUUGUUUUUUGGUGUUUUAUAUUGGCCAGUUGUUUUAAAAUACAGGUACAUAUGAUGUUACUGUUGUGACAAAAUCCUUCUUCCUAUAUACUAUAUAUUUUGUAACCUUGGCCUUGGUUACUAAUGUGUGAAAAUCCUUCUUCCUAAAAUACAGAGAAUGGUUCAAGUUCUACUCUAGCUAGUACUACUUCAGUUUCUGCUGUUCAAUAACUAGUCAACAGUUUUAUGUUGGCAAUGUGGUGGUGGUCAAUUGGCAAGCAAAGCUCAAGUCAUAAUGAAGAAUGUAAUUAAAAGAGUUGAAGUUUGAAAGGAUUAGCAUAUUGAGUGCAAGUAGAGUUUGUCAUGAGUUAUCGUUGACAAAAAUAUAAGCAUAGUGCCAAUUCUUAAUACCUUGGCAAUGUUCAAGGAGCAUAUAAUGCUUCAUUUCAUUCCACUGUAAGCAUAGUGCCAUGAUAUAAUCAUGAUUUCUACAAAUUUAGAGUCUUUUUAAACAUGUAAGCAUGUAACAAAGCUUAUCAUAGACAAUUCUGCAGCCGCAGGACCAAAUGUACAAUAUUUAGACUAAUCCCUUAUCAUAGUAUUUUAUGUUUAUAUACAAUAUUUAUCAUAGACAUUUAAUAUCAGGUAUUAAUACAAUUUUCUCAUAAUUUUAUUUA